rnacentral:rRNA from 1 species
UGUAGUUGAAAAACUUCUCAAGUUUGGCCUCGGAUCAGGCGGGGAUA